CCUGCUCAGUUGAGGCAGAGGAAAGAAAAUCUUAGGGCGCACGGAGGCGCAGGAAAGGGAGAUAACGGUUUACAGCCUCCACGCAGACACCGUGAAGACGGUUCUCUGCUCCCGGACUGAAGUGACACCCCUGCUUCUCCCAAUCCUCCCAUUGAUGCACAACCUCUGGAGAGGGGAAGCCCGGGCUGUGGACGGCGGUGGAAAUGAGCUCGGCCAUGCAGUAAGUGUGGCGACCUUGUGGCCAACCCCUCGCUGUUUCCACCGCUCUCACCACUAAAUGAUGCCUACUGUAUCCUGC